GACGAACCGGACAAACGUUAUUCGGAAUCACUGGGCUUAAAGGGUGCGUAGGCGGCGCUGAAAGUUGGGUGUGAAAUCCCUCGGCUCAACCGAGGAACUGCGCCCAAAACUGCAGUGCUUGAGGGAGAUAGAGGUGAGCGGAACUUAGGGUGGAGCGGUGAAAUGUGUUGAUAUCCUAAGGAACACCGGUGGCGAAAGCGGCUCGCUGGGUCUCUUCUGACUCUGAGGCACGAAAGCUAGGGUAGCGAACAGG
rnacentral:rRNA from 1 species